rnacentral:rRNA from 1 species
CGCCUCUUGAUUAAAUAUAAGAGGUCCAGCCUGCCCAGUGACAUAGUUUAACGGCCGCGGAACCCUAACCGUGCGAAGGUAGCAUAAUCACUUGCUCUUUAAAUGGGGGCUAGUAUCAAAGGCAUCACGAGGGUUGUACUGUCUCCUUUCUCUAAUCAAUGAACCUGAUCUCUUCGUGAAGAAGCGAAGAUAUUAAUAUAAGACGAGAAGACCCCAUGGAGCUUUAAACAAUGUAUACACCUCUACAAGUACCCACACCCUUUUAACCUAUUGAAUUUGUAUACAAGUUUUAGGCUGGGGUGACCGCGGAGAAUAAAAAAACCUCCAUGACGAAAGGAUUAAUACCCUAAUACAAGAGAUACCCCUCUAAGAAUCAACAUAUUGACGUAAAUUGACCCGAACACUCGAUCAACAAACCAAGUUACCCUGGGGAUAACAGCGCAAUCUACUUCGAGAGCCCAUAUCGACAAGUAGGUUUACGACCUCGAUGUUGGAUCAGGGUAUCCCGGUGGUGCAGCCGCUACCGAAGGUUCGUUUGUUCAACGAUUAAAACCCU